rnacentral:rRNA from 1 species
UGGGGAAUAUUGCACAAUGGGCGAAAGCCUGAUGCAGCAACGCCGCGUGAGCGAUGAAGGCCUUUGGGUCGUAAAGCUCUGUCCUUGGGGAAGAAAAAAUGACGGUACCCAUGGAGGAAGCCCCGGCUAACUACGUGCCAGCAGCCGCGGUAAUACGUAGGGGGCAAGCGUUAUCCGGAAUUAUUGGGCGUAAAGGGUGCGUAGGUGGUUUUGUAAGCGCGGGGUGAAAGGCAAUAGCUUAACUAUUGUAAGCCCUGCGAACUGUGAGACUUGAGUGCAGGAGAGGAAAGCGGAAUUCCUAGUGUAGCGGUGAAAUGCGUAGAUAUUAGGAGGAACACCAGUGGCGAAGGCGGCUUUCUGGACUGUAACUGACACUGAGGCACGAAAGCGUGGGGAGCA